UUAAACAGCGCCUCUACUCUGGUUACUCCCCGCCACGGCUUCUUGCCUCAAUGGUUUCACCUUUAGGAUGGCAUAGUCCUUAGGGAUAUUUCUCCGUUUCCUCUUUGUUAAUAAACUUCUUAACAUAUUAUUCUUCGAAUAAUUCUACUAUAAAGUAACUAAUAUGAAUUAUUUUAUCAUAUCAUGAUUGUUGGGAAUUAUGAAAUUAGCUAUUCAUAAUUAUAAAUAGAUAUACCUGUUCCGGUAGCUUUGAUGUUUCUGAGUUUUGUUGUUCCAUAGCUUUUUCCAUUGGAGUAUAUUUAUCUAAUUAACUGAGUAAUUUUUGUGGAAUGGAGAGAGAAAGGUUUGCUUCAAAAGAAGGCUUGCUUUCCGCAAUACCCUCGACCUUUGUAUUUAUAGAAUGAAUUUACAUAUCUGCUGUGCCUAAGAAGUAAUGAAAAUUAAAGAAGUGGGGCCUAUCCCCAUCUAACUUUUCCUAAAAUUCUAAGUUACGUAAAGUUUCUCAAUUAAAACUAAGCCUAAGAAGUCAAAAAGGUAUCUAACUUACAAUUUCUAAAACUAAAGAAAAAAAAUAGUCAACAAUAGUGGCUUACAUAUACAUUUUUUCUACGUAAAAAGUCUAACAAAUUAAUUAAUGUACAGUAUCUUGUCUCCGUUGAUUUUGUCGUAUCUGCUCCAUUAUUGCUCUGUAUCUGCUCCAUUAUUGCUCUGUAUCUGCUCCAUUAUUGCUCUGUAUCUGCUCCAUUAUUGCUCUGUAUCUGCGCCAUUAUUGCUCUGUAUCUGCUCCAUUAUUGCUCUUUUNNNNNNNNNNNNNNNNNNNNNNNNNNNNNNNNNNNNNNNNNNNNNNNNNNNNNNNNNNNNNNCUUGAACAUUGGUGGUCUGGAUAUUUAUGUCCGAUUAUCUUACAGUAUCUUGUUAGCAGUCCGUCUGAAAUAAAUCCCUUUUUCAUUGCUCGCGCGGUAGAUUUUUUUUUCUGGGUUAAGUAGCGUCAGUAUCCAUUGUCUUACGUCUUCCAUAUCUGCUUGUCGUAGCUCUUUUGAAUUUGAAUAUAUCAUUUGGUGAUCUCUUGAAUAGUAGCUCCAUAUUGGGUUUCCGUUAGCAUAGUUAUUUGCUAGUUCUUGAAUGAUCGUAGCUAGUCCAAUAAGUCUUUUAUUUGCAUAAAAAUCUGGUAUCUCGAUUCUAGGUAUCUCCGGUUGUUGCGAAAUAUCUUCUGGUAUAAUCAUAUCUCUUGUUAAUCCUAUCUUUACAACUUGUAUAACUGGUUUUAUUUCGUCAUAUAAUAUCUCUGCUGGUGCAGUAUAACACUUUAUAUAAAAUAAAUUUCCUUUUGUUAUUCUUUUGUAGGUAGUGAAUAUCUUGUAUAAUUCCUCCAUAGCUGUUAGCUCUUCUCCGUCUUGGGUGUAUAUGGUAUUUAGUAGUCCAUAGUCAAAACAAGUUUUAACUAGGCUUGGGUUAGUUUUGGGUAGUGCUAUCAGUUUAUUGUAUCCUUGUAGUUUUUGGGUUAUAUAAUUGGUAUUUGGUUCUUGGAUAUUUGUAGCUCUGGGGUUAUGGUUUAGAAAGGUUUGGACUCUAUAUAUAUUUUCUAUGUAUUUUUGGGCUGUGUAGUUGUAUAUUUUCUUGUCUUGGUUUAGGCUGUCUCGGUAUGUGUUAACUUGUGGGGGUAUGAAUAAAUGGUCUUUUUGUGCUUUUGGGGUAAAUGGUUUUUCAAAUAUUUUGUUCAUAUUUACAUUCUGGUAUCUUGGUCUAUUAACUCCUUUGCUUGUACCUGCAGAAGUAGAUUGAUAAAUGUUAUGGGUUUUAUGGAGUGUCCCAACGUCUCCUUCUAGCUCUGGAUUUUUAAUGUCUUUCGAUCGACAUAGCUCUGCACAUUGCUGAGUUAGCUGAUUUGUAGCUAUAGACUUCAGUUUAUCUUCAUUAGUCUUUAGCUUUUCUAUCUCAUUACCCAUACUGUCCACUUUCAUUGAAAGCGUAGUUAGGGUGUUAAGUAUUUUUUCUAGA
rnacentral:lncRNA from 1 species